AGAGUUUGAUCCUGGCUCAGGAUGAACGCUAGCGGCAGGCUUAACACAUGCAAGUCGGGCGGCAGCGGGGUGGGAGCUUGCUCCCACUGCCGGCGAGCGGCGCACGGGUGAGUAACACGUAUGCAACCUGCCCCUGUCAGGGGGACAACCCGCCGAAAGGCGGGCUAAGCCCGCGUAUAUCGCCCCGGGGCAUCCCGGGGGGAGGAAAGGAGCGAUCCGGACAGGGAUGGGCAUGCGGCGCAUUAGCUGGUCGGCGGGGUAACGGCCCACCGAGGCGACGAUGCGUAGGGGUUCUGAGAGGAAGGCCCCCCACACUGGUACUGAGACACGGACCAGACUCUUACGGGAGGCAGCAGUGAGGAAUAUUGGUCAAUGGGCGGGAGCCUGAACCAGCCAAGCCGCGUGAGGGAAGAAGGUACAGCGUAUCGUAAACCUCUUUUGUCAGGGAACAAAGGCGGGGACUAGACCCCGGAUGAGGGUACCUGAAGAAAAAGCAUCGGCUAACUCCGUGCCAGCAGCCGCGGUAAUACGGAGGAUGCGAGCGUUAUCCGGAUUUAUUGGGUUUAAAGGGUGCGCAGGCGGCCUGUUAAGUCAGCGGUAAAAGCCCGGGGCUCAACCCCGGCGAGCCGUUGAAACUGGCGGGCUGGGGUUGGAGAGAAGUACGCGGAAUGCGCGGUGUAGCGGUGAAAUGCUUAGAUAUCGCGCAGAACCCCGAUUGCGAAGGCAGCGUACCGGCUCCACACUGACGCUGAGGCACGAAAGCGUGGGUAUCGAACAGGAUUAGAUACCCUGGUAGUCCACGCAGUAAACGAUGAAUG
rnacentral:rRNA from 1 species